UUUUUAAACAAGUGAUUCUAAUUUCAUUGCAGCAAGCAAUGUCUGCCACUGUUAUGGCCACUAAUAUGUUUUGACUACCAUGCCUCAUUUGCAGCAACCUUAAGUUCAGAACUGAAAUACAAAGCAGGAAAAUGGCAAAUAUUUGAAUGACUUCUUGGGUUCUGUGCCAGCAUUUUCAUGUUUCCUUCAGUCACUACUAAAUGACCAUUCCUCAGUUCCAAACAAAAGCUCAUAUAAAGAUGUCAUUGAUGCUGACUGCUUCUUUUCACAUUAAAUGUGUUUCAGCUACAACUCUGUCAGUUUAGACACCAUGGGCAGAUUUUUAUAACCUCAUCUCCACACAUCUCAACCCAUUGCUCCCUGUAUCCUGCUGACCCGACAAGGACAAGCAACCAUCUCUGUGCAGAGGGACAGUGUAGACUUUGUGAAGGGACUGUAAGCAGACCUGGAGAUUCUCCUAUGGCAUUCAGGAAACCCCACUCGGAAAAUGGGAAAAAAAUCUGACCACAUUUAAAAUACAUCCUGCAGUCAAUGCAUUGCACUACUGUGAUAACUACAGUGUUAACAUCUGCAUUUCCUGCUGAGAGUUU
rnacentral:lncRNA from 1 species